AACGAACGCUGGCGGCAGGCCUAACACAUGCAAGUCGAGCGGACCCUUCGGGGUUAGCGGCGGACGGGUGAGUAACGCGUGGGAAUAUGCCCUUCUCUACGGAAUAGUCCUGGGAAACUGGGGGUAAUACCGUAUACGCCCUUUGGGGGAAAGAUUUAUCGGGGAAGGAUUAGCCCGCGUUGGAUUAGGUAGUUGGUGGGGUAAUGGCCUACCAAGCCGACGAUCCAUAGCUGGUUUGAGAGGAUGAUCAGCCACACUGGGACUGAGACACGGCCCAGACCCCUUCGGGAAGCAACAGUGGGGGAUCUUAGACAAGGGGGGCAAACCUUGUCCAGCCAUGGCCGGGGGGUUGUGGAGGGCUUAGGGGUGUAAAGCCCCUUCCGCCGGGAAGAUAAUGACGGUACCAGCAGAAGAAGCCCCGGCUAACUCCGUG
rnacentral:rRNA from 1 species